GAUACAGACAGCCCCAAGCCACAAGUUCUCAUUUCUGCAUUUAACUUUCAUACUGAAAACAAAUCCUAAAGAGUACUGGAAGAGCAUGGAAGCAACGCAACAGCCACAGAGUCUCCAGUUAUUUGUUCAACUUCAUGAUGGACAUUGUCAAACCCUGAUCUUCAGUUUCAAUAAGUGAAUUCAGCAACCCAACUGGACCUCAGACUUCGAAGAGCUGUGCAUGUCAAGCACUAAGGUCUACUGCAUCUAAUAGAGAAUUCUAACUAUGAAGGCCUUUAAGAAUAAUAUCAUAAUAUUUUAUGUAA